rnacentral:rRNA from 1 species
UCGAGGAUCUUUCGCAAUGGGCGCAAGCCUGACGAAGCGACGCUGUGUGGACGAUGAAGGCCUUCGGGUUGUAAAGUCCUUUCGCGUAAGAACAAGAGAGACUGUCUAAUAAGCAGUUAAUUUGAGGGUACUACGUAAAGAAGCACCGGCUAACUCCGUGCCAGCAGCUGCGGUAAUACGGAGGGUGCAAGCAUUAAUCGGAUUUACUGGGCGUAAAGGGCGCGUAGGCGGGUCUACAAGUCAAAUGUGAAAUUCCGGAGCUCAACUUCGGAGCGGCAUUUGAAACUGUAGGUCUAUAGAGGGAUGGCGGAGAAAAUGGAAUUCCACAUGUAGCGGUGAAAUGCGUAGAUAUGUGGAAGAACACCAGUGGCGAAAGCGGUUUUCUAGCUAUUACCUGACGCUGAGGCGCGAGAGCAUGGGGAGCAAACAGG